GACGAACCGUACGAACGUUAUUCGGAGUUACUGGGCGUAAAGGGCGUGUAGGUGGUGCUGUAAGUCUGGCGUGAAAUUUUUCGGCUUAACCGGGAAAGGUCGUCGGAUACUGCAGGACUAGAGGACGGUAGAGGCGUGUGGAAUUCCGGGUGUAGUGGUGAAAUGCGUAGAGAUCCGGAGGAACACCAGUGGCGAAGGCGACACGCUGGGCCGUACCUGACACUGAGGCGCGAUAGCAUGGGGAGCAAACAGG
rnacentral:rRNA from 1 species